rfam:Theobroma cacao cultivar Matina 1-6 chromosome 6, whole genome shotgun sequence.
UUGCGAUCGAGAUAUUGGUGCGGUUCAAUCGGAGAGCAUCACUCUAAAGGGUAGAGUUCUGUUAUUUGAUUGAGCCGUGCCAAUAUCACGUACAACGGC